GUCAGUGUACUAACAUUCACAAUUGCUAUGCUGGAAAUUCAUCUAUGCUCCUGUAUCCCUGGAACUGGCCACUGCCAGGUGCCUACAUUUUCUGGUAAAUGGAGAGUUAGACACCUGAAACUAGAAUUCACAGCAGCUGCUGUGAAUUAUGGAUUGUUCACCAGUAGGAAUUAUUUAAGGAAACUGUAGGAGAUGAUCUGAAAUUGAUAUCACCUAGUCCUAGGUUAAAUGCCUGUGAGAAAAUGGUCAGAACAUGAAACCGUAUCAGUAAGUUCACGCACUAGGGCACAGAAGAAGGAAGAGACUUUUUGUCUAAAGGUUGGAUAGAUGAUAUACUCCUACUCCAGAAGUGGGAAGUACCUCAGCAUGGAAGAGCAUAUUCCAUCAUCUAGCACAUUUUAUCAUGAUCCCUUCAUUACAUACAAGGUAUACCUCUGGCAUACACAGUGACCCGAGUCCUUCAUACAGCACUUAUGAUUUCUGCAGCCAUACAUGCUGCUAUAAAGAAUCAGCUCCUACUCUGAAGCCCAGAAGAAGGAAGAAAGUCUGUAAAACAGAGACAUGGCAUUACUCCUACACUACAGAUAGCAUCAGACGCCUGUCCAGGAGACUGAUGGAAGAGCAGUGCUGUUAAGUUUGUCUCCAUUUGGCAGCCUGCCUUGCUGACUGAAAAGGAAGCAGAAAUCUCAGACUCCCUCACAGCUCCUCAGAAGUAUGAUCUCACAGACUUCUUUGCCUCCAGGCAUUUGGGCUGCUUCAGAAUGGGACACCUCCA
rnacentral:lncRNA from 1 species